rnacentral:lncRNA from 1 species
GGGGCUUCCCUUCUCACUGGAGCGUGCCUCGAACUGAGGCAAACGAGAACAGCCGAGUGGAGACGGACGACCGGAAGGACUUCCACCGACUCAAGGACAUGUCGGUCCCGAAGCAGAGGGAGCUUGUUACCGAACAAGCCCUCUAUGAUGCUGGCCUAAGCCUGGUCCCCCAUCUAGGUAUCGCCCGAUCCAUCGGUCAUCUUUUUAUUUGGCAUUCGUUCUCGUGCAU